CUGACGGACGCGUCUGGGUCAAUUGCGGAACGCAACACCCGGUCGCCCUUCGCGUCCCCGAUGAGGGGGAUACGGGAGGGGGAACGCGUCACCCUCAG
rnacentral:ncRNA from 1 species